UACGGAGGGUGCGAGCGUUGUCCGGAAUCAUUGGGCGUAAAGGGCGCGUAGGUGGCGGGACAAGCGUGCGGUGAAAGCUCGGGGCUCAACCCCGGGUCGGCCGUGCGAACUGUUUUGCUUGAGCACUGUAGAGGCAGGCGGAAUUCCGGGUGUAGCGGUGGAAUGCGUAGAGAUCCGGAAGAACACCGGUGGCGAAGGCGGUCUGCUGGGCAGUAGCUGACACUGAGGCGCGACAGCGUGGGGAGCAAACAGG
rnacentral:rRNA from 1 species